GCGGCGAGUGAAGCGGCAAAAGCUCAAAUUUGAAAUCUGGCGCCUUCGGUGUCCGAGUUGUAAUUUGAAGAUUGUAACCUUGGGGUUGGCUCUUGUCUAUGUUUCUUGGAACAGGACGUCACAGAGGGUGAGAAUCCCGUGCGAUGAGAUGCCCAAUUCUAUGUAAGGUGCUUUCGAAGAGUCGAGUUGUUUGGGAAUGCAGCUCUAAGUGGGUGGUAAAUUCCAUCUAAAGCUAAAUAUUGGCGAGAGACCGAUAGCGAACAAGUACAGUGAUGGAAAGAUGAAAAGAACUUUGAAAAGAGAGUGAAAAAGUACGUGAAAUUGUUGAAAGGGAAGGGUUUGAGAUCAGACUCGAUAUUUUGUGAGCCUUGCCUUCGUGGCGGGGUGACCCGCAGCUUAUCGGGCCAGCAUCGGUUUGGGCGGUAGGAUAAUGGCGUAGGAAUGUGACUUUACUUCGGUGAAGUGUUAUAGCCUGCGUUGAUGCUGCCUGCCUAGACCGAGGACUGCGAUUUUAUCAAGGAUGCUGGCAUAAUGAUCCCAAACCGCCC
rnacentral:rRNA from 1 species